rnacentral:lncRNA from 1 species
CCGGGCAGCCCCAUCCUCGGCGGCGCCGCGCACCGAGCCAACAUGGUGGCGGCCGCGCGGGGCGGAGGGGAGGCGAGGGGCAGCCCCCGAUCGGGGCCUUUCGGGGAGGGCUGCCCGGAGCCCGGCUGCCUUCCUCCUGCUUGAUGAUGUUCAGGUGUGUGGCUUCAGUACGACUCCGAGCUCUUCCGCCUGCCGUGGGAAAGGCGUGGAGAAAUUACUCUCCGACCACGCAGCCGGGGUUGUCCAGGCUUGGUGUGUGUAAUGGGUUCGAGUCAAACAGGAUGAGGAAGGAGGAGCUGCACUCAUCUGCUGUAGCAUGUGUGGAAAACAGCGUGAGAUGCUGCUGCUGUCGUUUGCUGCUACCAGGUGCUGGGUACCAUUUCCUGACCAGUGUUCAGGCAAGAUCAGUGUCUGUGAACUCAUCAGCUGCACUGCAUUUCUGGUAUUCCAGGAAAAAUGCUGCUGUUAAGGCUGCUGCUUUGUCCUGCACUGUCAUCAGCCCGCUUCUUGAAGAGCUGGCUCUCAAGUGGGGAAACAAGAAGAGCAAAACCCAGCCAGAGCCCCCUGCACAAGUGUUUGUGCUGGGGAUACAUCACAGCUUUUUGGAACUUUUAAUGUUUGUAUUCUUCAAAAGGGGGGAAAAAAACUGCUACAUUCAGCAGAAAGCUCUCUAUAUACCGUGA